AUUGAACGCUGGCGGCAUGCUUUACACAUGCAAGUCGAACGGCAGCGCGGGCUUCGGCCUGGCGGCGAGUGGCGAACGGGUGAGUAAUACAUCGGAACGUGCCCAGUAGUGGGGGAUAGCUCGGCGAAAGCCGGAUUAAUACCGCAUACGACCUGAGGGUGAAAGCGGGGGAUCUUCGGACCUCGCGCUAUUGGGGCGGCCGAUGGCAGAUUAGCUAGUGGGUGGGGUAAAGGCCUACCAAGGGGACGAUCUGUAGCUGGUCUGAGAGGGCGACCAGCCACACGGGGACUGAGACACGGCCCAGACUCCUACGGGAGGCAGCAGUGGGGAAUUUUGGACAAUGGGCGAAAGCCUGAUCCAGCAAUGCCGCGUGUGUGAUGAAGGCCUUCGGGUUGUAAAGCACUUUUGGCGGGAACGAAAAGGACUGUGCCAAUACCACGGUUCGAUGACGGUACCCGCAGAAUAAGCACCGGCUAACUACGUG
rnacentral:rRNA from 1 species